GGAGGCUGCGGGCGGCGCCCCGGGAUAGGGACCCUGCAGCUCCAGGGAGUUGAACUUGUCAAAUUAAUGUCUACAGUGAUAUGUAUGAAACAAAGGGAAGAAGAAUUCUUGCUAACCAUCAGACCUUUUGCAAACAGGAUGCAGGUAACCCCACACCAUUAGGAUUGAGGCACAUGUGCUCACUUUAAAGCUGCUGGUAUUGUUCCUAAGAAGUUGCACAAGCCUGGGCUUUUAACUGAAGACAAACUUUUCACUGACAUAUAAAAAACUACAAAUGCUCUGGUAAUGAAAUCCCCUUGCUAUAUUCCCAUUGUGAGCAGUGCCACCCUGUGGGAUAGAAGCACACCCAGUGCAAAGCACAUCCCUUGUUAUGAAAGAACUUCAGUACCCUGCUCCAGAUUCAUUAAUCACAUGAAGAAUUUCUCUGAAUCUCCUAAAUUUCGUAGUCUACACUUUCUGAAUUUUCCAGGACCAUUUCACUGACCUGAAAGGAUAUAUUUAAAUGUGCCUGUCCAAUUUACUACCUAAGAGAUAAUGAAGUUUUUAGGACAACUGAUAAAGCAGUAUUUCCAGAAAGGACUCAAAAUUCAAUGGCGUGUAAAAGACUACUUCAUACUUGCCAGUACAUAGUCCCCAGGUGUUCUGUAAGCACAGUUUCUUUUGAUGAAGAAAGCUAUGAAGAAUUCCGUUCCUCUCCAGCACCAUCCAGUGAAACUGAUGAGGCCCCAUUGAUUUUUACUGCCAGAGGAGAAACUGAGGAGAGAGCCAGAGGAGCACCCAAGCAGGCUUGGAACAGUUCAUUUUUGGAACAACUGGUUAAAAAGCCUAACUGGGCACACUCAGUAAAUCCUGUUCACCUGGAGGCUCAGGGCAUACACAUCAGUAGACACACAAGACCUAAGGGCCAGCCCUUGAGCAGUCCCAAGAAAAAUUCUG
rnacentral:lncRNA from 1 species